GGGAAUGUGGCUUAGUGGUAAAGUGUUUGCCUAGCAUGCAUGAGGGCCUAGGUUUGAUUCCUUGGUACCA
rnacentral:tRNA from 1 species